AGUGAACGCUGGCGGUAGGCCUAACACAUGCGAGUCGAACGGCAGCACAGUAAGAGCUUGCCCUUACGGGUGGCGAGUGGCGGACGGGUGAGGAAUACAUCGGAAUCUACUUUUUCGUGGGGGAUAACGUAGGGAAACUUACGCUAAUACCGCAUACGACCUACGGGUGAAAGCAGGGGAUCUUCGGACCUUGCGCGAUUGAAUGAGCCGAUGUCGGAUUAGCUAGUUGGCGGGGUAAAGGCCCACCAAGGCGACGAUCCGUAGCUGGUCUGAGAGGAUGAUCAGCCACACUGGAACCGAGACACGGUCCAGACUCCUACGGGAGGCAGCAGUGGGGAAUAUUGGACAAUGGGCGCAAGCCUGAUCCAGCCAUACCGCGUGGGUGAAGAAGGCCUUCGGGUUGUAAAGCCCUUUUGUUGGGAAAGAAAAGCAGCAGGUUAAUACCCCGCUGUUCUGACGGUACCCAAAGAAUAAGCACCGGCUAACUUCGUG
rnacentral:rRNA from 1 species